rnacentral:rRNA from 1 species
UUGAACGCUGGCGGCAGGCCUAACACAUGCAAGUCGAGCGGAUGAAGGGAGCUUGCUCCUGGAUUCAGCGGCGGACGGGUGAGUAAUGCCUAGGAAUCUGCCUGGUAGUGGGGGGUAACGUCCGGAAACGGGCGCUAAUACCGCAUACGUCCUGAGGGAGAAAGUGGGGGAUCUUCGGACCUCACGCUAUCAGAUGAGCCUAGGUCGGAUUAGCUAGUUGGUGGGGUAAAGGCCUACCAAGGCGACGAUCCGUAACUGGUCUGAGAGGAUGAUCAGUCACACUGGAACUGAGACACGGUCCAGACUCCUACGGGAGGCAGCAGUGGGGAAUAUUGGACAAUGGGCGAAAGCCUGAUCCAGCCAUGCCGCGUGUGUGAAGAAGGUCUUCGGAUUGUAAAGCACUUUAAGUUGGGAGGAAGGGCAGUAAGUUAAUACCUUGCUGUUUUGACGUUACCAACAGAAUAAGCACCGGCUAACUUCGUG